rnacentral:tRNA from 1 species
AGAAAAGUAAGCUAAUUCAAGCUAAUGGGUUCAUACCCCAUUUAUGGAAUCAAUCUAUUCCCUUCUCUA